rnacentral:rRNA from 1 species
UACAGAGGGUGCGAACGUUGUUCGGAAUUACUGGGCAUAAAGAGCACGUAGGCGGCACCGCAAGUGUGGGGUGAAAUCCCACGGCUUACCCGUGGAACUGCCUGGCAGACUGCGGUGCUAGAGGUUGGUAGGGGAGAGCGGAACUCUUGGUGGAGCGGUGAAAUGCGUAGAUAUCAAGAGGAACACCGGUGGCGAAGGCGACUCUCUGGAACAAUCCUGACGCUGAGGUGCGAAAGCUAGGGGAGCAAACGGG